UGAUGCACACAGCAUACCGAACUAACCGAAGCACACGCAAGCGAUUUGCAAUGAAUUCUACAGUACGCAGCGUAUUGAUUUAUUAAUGUUGUUUGGGAUUUAUCACUUAUGAGAAUUGUAGAGCCGCAGAGUUUUUACUUGGAGACGUCAGCCGUGCGUUUUCAAAAUUUUCAUAUCGGGAACUGAGAGCCCCUUCUUUUGUCACCGUGGUUUUCCUUCAGGUCAAGAGCAUUAUUCAGCUGGUAGCGAUGUCUCAUAAUUCCUCAGCGUCUACAAGCCACGAACGAUUCGGGCUACAACUGGCCAGCAGCAUCAAGCGCUCCCUGAACAGUGGAGAGUUCAGUGACGUACAGUUUACUGUCGGACGACAGUUCGGACCAGCACAGUGUUUCCGUGCGCAUAAGUACGUCCUGAGCCUGCGUUGCUCGGUGUUUGGCGCGAUGUUCUACGGAGAUUCUCCACAACGAUGUGAUCAACCUAUUGACAUUCCUGAUGUUAUUCCCGCUGCCUUUGGAAAUAUGCUCAGUUUUCUAUAUACUGGCACUGUGGAGAAUUUGUAUAUGGACAACGUCAUCCACACGCUGGUAUGCGCCAAGAAGUACGAUCUGCCGCUGUUGAUGGAGAUGUGCAGCGACUUCGUCAGCGCCGGUCUGGGCGUCAACAACUGCCUGGUCAUCCUGGAUACUGUCGUUCGUUUCGGUGCCGACUUGAAGGCGAUUAUGGAGCGCUGCCUAGACUUGAUCGAUCGCUGUGCUGACGAGCUCCUCCAGUCGGAACAGUUUGCACAACUUCGUCACAAGACCAUCAUGAUGAUUCUGCAACGUGGCACGCUGUCGGCAGCGGAAUAUAACGUCUACUUGGCUGUUGAGAGAUGGGCGCGGGAAGUCUGUAAGGUCGGCAACGUGGACCCGUCGCCCACCAAUCGGCGUCGGAUGUUAGGGGAAGCGUUGUUUUUGGUGCGGUUUCCGCUGUUGACCAACGCGCAGCUGGCUGAUGGCCCCAUCAAGAGUGGCCUGUUGCUGCAGUCCGAGGUACAGAACCUGUUUCAGUACCGAUUCGCCACGGUGAAACCGCCUCUGCCAUUCUCCGCACAGCCUCGCAAAGCCGUCGGUGUAGGGAAUGUCGUAAUCAAGGAAGAAGAACCUGUCUCCAGCACACAUCCAGCGGAAGGCAGAGUGUACCACGGGGGUCCGAGCGCCGCGUAUGGAGACGGUGGGCCGAGCGCAUACACCUGUCCUCGUCCGGAAUGUGAGGAAGCGUUCAGCGCUAAUUACGCACUACAGCAACACCUGGACAAUCGCCAUGGGUUGGUGACCGCCGCCCUGCCCAGGGAGGACCCCCAGAAGAAGCUAUUGUGCCGCAUCUGCAAUACGUGGAUUGCCAGUCCCAAGCUUAAGAAGCACGCUGCUGACUGUAUUGCGAAGAAGAUGGCAUCUAAAACUACAAUUCAUGUUUAUACGAAGAAACGAGCCGCGUAAAGAACGAACAAACUCGAGUGGUUAACAGCGCACGGGGAUAAAAGGGAAUGGUGGGAACGCUGUUCCUGGCUGUUCAUUUAGAUGCAAUUUCGAAGUUGGGAUCCUUCUGUUCGAAUGGAUAUUCCGAUAAUAUUCCGAUAUUCCUGUCACGACUUGAAGGUGGCGGCAUAAUACGUAUUUAUUAUGAACCGCCACUGAGGGCGCAAACAACCAACUGAUCGUUGUCAAUUUGUCAUCAGGACAACAAUGGCACACUGCAACCGCAGUUGCCAUGCUGGACAACACACCACAUAGAGGUCACAGAGGACACAACAUUCUCGUGACGUCAGUGCCACUGCACUACGCCACACGCCCUUCACUUCUGAAGUGCUAACAAAGAAGUACAAAUCCAUAGUCAUACUAGUCAAAGCACGUACGUACAGAUACAAGCACAGAAUUUUCUUAGCAACGAUCAUUAAUUCCAUUUUCCGUAUUAAAAUGCACAAACUCACUCAACCUGUACAAUUGCGUCCUUGUACGUACAACUCGCUAAUUCUCCCUUGCUGGUGAAGGUCAUCUGGCUGGCUCUCCGAGUCCAGCAUUCACCAAACUCUUUCCACGCCGUCCGUCUCACCGCGCUCUUCGUGCCUCAACCAGCCUGAUAAGCAUCCGCACGGCUUCUUGAUCCACUGGAAUCUUUCAUCCUUUCACCACGUUCCUUGUUCAUCGUUUCAGAGACUGUGCCUUGUCACUGGCACCGUCGCUGGUGUCCACGGAUGUCUGGCUUCGCUCACCCUUCUGCCACGAAGGAACCGUCGGUCUCCAGGCUUCGCCCAUUUCCCAGGUGCGUCGCCGAAACCAAUUCUCUUCCUUGGCUGGGCAGCCUUAAGCAGACGUAUAUCUUGGUCACAGGCCUCACGGAGGAACGGUACUCGUCCGCCUCUCCAUCGUCGCGGCUUUCCCAUCUGCCUCCACAGGUGCGGCACUUCUCCUCCCGCCCUGCUUUCCCUCGUGGAUACCAUCCACGAUUCAGGCACUCGUUCCCAGCACACGUUUUACAUCCGAUGGAUGGAGUUGUUGUGCCUCUCCCUCGCUCGUCGAUCGCGUCGUUCCGGCAGUAAAGCAGCAUACAUUAACACCUAUACGCCACAAGUACUGACAUCCUUCACGCCACUGUCACGACUUGAAGGUGGCGGCAUAAUACGUAUUUAUUAUGAACCGCCACUGAGGGCGCAAACAACCAACUGAUCGUUGUCAUCAGGACAACAAUGGCACACUGCAACCGCAGUUGCCAUGCUGGACAACACACCACAUAGAGGUCACAGAGGACACAACAUUCUCGUGACGUCAGUGCCACUGCACUACGCCACAAUUUUCGUGGCUUUAUUUUAUUUUGUUCCUUUCACAUGUGGUACACGACCAGAUUUUGUUUUUUAAUUUGUUAUCGUGUUAUGUUUGCACUGACUUGUGAGUGUUGGAUGAGAACUGGUUAUGCGUCUUUCCGAUAUGGUUGAGUAGUGGAAGAUGACUGUUUUUACACGGAUAUUGUUCGGUCAGAUUUUUCAAAAAAAGCCAGGACGAGAGCGUUCGACAUUGGAAGUUCGCAAAAAGGAAUUUUGAGCAGGCGCGUAUAAGAUAAAUUACAGCGUGAUAGUGUUCCAUUUCUCCACCCGUACUGCCGACUGGAAGCGUCUGCCGCACAAAAUCGUCGUUCCACAAUUUUAGCGUUAUCUUUAAGUGGAACGUGUCGAUGAGGGGAUUAUACAUCACAUCGGUUAAAUUGGACAGCAACGUCGCCAUGGGCGAGAAGAAGAAGGUUGGUUCAGCUGAGUCCGACGAUGCAGCCUGGAGAUUCCCACUUGGCGGCCGUUGUAUGACAUUGUGAAAGCCGGUUAUGACAACUUCCAGUUCCCGUGGAUUUGCAAGGGUAGCUCGGUUCACAGGCUGAGUCAGUGCAGCAGCUGAGCUAAUUUGCUGUUGAUCCGUGCAA